rnacentral:rRNA from 1 species
GACGAACGCUGGCGGCGUGCUUAACACAUGCAAGUCGAACGGAAAGGCCCUGCUUUUGUGGGGUGCUCGAGUGGCGAACGGGUGAGUAACACGUGAGUAACCUGCCCUUGACUUUGGGAUAACUUCAGGAAACUGGGGCUAAUACCGGAUAGGAGCUCCUGCUGCAUGGUGGGGGUUGGAAAGUUUCGGCGGUUGGGGAUGGACUCGCGGCUUAUCAGCUUGUUGGUGGGGUAGUGGCUUACCAAGGCUUUGACGGGUAGCCGGCCUGAGAGGGUGACCGGCCACAUUGGGCCUGAGAUACGGCCCAGACUCCUACGGGAGGCAGCAGUGGGGAAUAUUGCACAAUGGGCGGAAGCCUGAUGCGGCAACGCCGCGUGCGGAAUGACGGCCUUCGGGUUGUAAACCGCUUUCGCAUGUGACGAGGCGUGCGUGACGGUAAUGGGUAAAGAAGCACCGGCUAACUACGUG